GAUCUGCUACGGGGCGCAGCAGUGAGGAAUAUUGGUCAAUGGGCGCGAGCCUGAACCAGCCACGUAGCGUGAAGGAUGACUGCCCUACGGGUUGUAAUCUUCUUGUAUAAAGGAAUAAAGUGAGGCACGUGUGCCUUUUUGUAUGUACUUUAUGAAUAAGGAUCGGCUAACUCCGUGCCAGCAGCCGCGGUAAUACGGAGGAUCCGAGCGUUAUCCGGAUUUAUUGGGUUUAAAGGGAGCGUAGAUGGGUUGUUAAGUCAGUUGUGAAAGUUUGCGGCCCAACCGUAAAAUUGCAAUUGAUACUG
rnacentral:rRNA from 1 species